GUAGGUGGCAAGCGUUGUCCGGAAUUAUUGGGCGUAAAGCGCGCGCAGGCGGUCCUUUAAGUCUGACGUGAAAGCCCACGGCUCAACCGUGGAGGGUCAUUGGAAACUGGGGGACUUGAGUACAGAAGAGGAAAGCGGAAUUCCAAGUGUAGCGGUGAAAUGCGUAGAGAUUUGGAGGAACACCAGUGGCGAAGGCGGCUUUCUGGUCUGUAACUGACGCUGAGGCGCGAAAGCGUGGGGAGCAAACAGGAUUAGAUACCCUGGUAGCCCACGCCGUAAACGAUGAGUGCUAAGUGUUAGGGGGUUUUCCCGCCCCCCUUAGUGCUGCAGCUAACGCAUUAAGCACUCCGCCUGGGGGAGUACGGCCGCAAGGCUG
rnacentral:rRNA from 1 species